rnacentral:rRNA from 1 species
UACGAAGGGGGCUAGCGUUGCUCGGAAUCACUGGGCGUAAAGGGCGCGUAGGCGGCCGGCCAAGUCGGGGGUGAAAGCCUGUGGCUCAACCACAGAAUGGCCCUCGAUACUGGACGGCUCGAGACCGGAAGAGGUUGGUGGAAUUGCGAGUGUAGAGGUGAAAUUCGUAGAUAUUCGCAAGAACACCGGUGGCGAAGGCGGCCAACUGGUCCGGAUCUGACGCUGAGGCGCGAAAGCUAGGGUAGCAAACGGG